AGCCACUACACAGACGAUCUCUUUCUACCCAAUUCUGGGGUUUCACAAUACAUCUUUUUUUUGUGUGGACUCAAGAAUGCACUAUACUACCAAUGCCAGAAUGUCAAUCAAUCUAAAUUCUCCCAGACCAUAAGUUAAUCAUUGAAAUUCAUCUAACUAUAACAAGAAUUCUUAAAGGGGAAAGACACACAAAAUUGUGUCCUAACUAACCAACAUGCAUAUGGUAAUAUUUAAGAUAAUAUUUAAAAUAUACUAUGUGGAGGCUAAUAAAAUAAUACACAGGACAGAAUAUUUUUUUUAAGUUGCACAAAUUUAACCACGACACAAUGGCAACCCCAAUGUUUCUAGACUUAAGCAGUGGUUUUCAGUUCUGUUGUUAUAACCUGUUCAUUCUUUCAAUAUUUUUAAAUUGUGCUAUUAUUUAAGAUUUUGAUAAUAAGAAACAAAGAGGAUUGGAGUUCCUGUCAUGGCUCAGUGGUUAAAGAGCCCAACUAGUAUCCAUGAGGAUGUGGGUUCAAUCUCUGACCUCACUCAGUGGGUUAAGGAUCCAGUGUUGCCGUGAGGUGCUGUGUAGAUUGCAGACAUGGCUCAGAGCCCAUGUUGCUGUGGCUGUGGUGUAGGCUGACAGCUGUAGCUCCGAUUCGACCCCUGGGAACCUCCAUAUGCCACAGGUGUGGCCCUAAAAACCAAAGAAAAGAAAAGAGUCAUGUACAGAGGUCACCCAACACAUGGAGGUAAGUACACCAAACACAUCCAUGUUCUAUGAGCAUAUAUUCUGGCAUAAUAACAGCAUGACGGGCACUGACAUCUGUUUAAAAGAACAUAUUUAUCUUCUGCCAUAUUACAAACCAAAUUCCAAAAUUUGACUCGACCUUAAAAGAAUCUGGGUAUGUUUACCAUGAUUAGAUGAGUGGUUUUGGAGUUACUGUUGUGGCUUAGUGGGUUAAGGACCUGACUUGUCUUCAUGAGGAUGUGGGUUCAAUCCCCAGCCUUGCUCAGUGGGUUAAGGAUCCUGCAUUGCAGCAAGCUGCAGCACAGGUCAAAGACAUGGCUCAGAUCCAGUGCUGCUGUGGCUGUGGUGUAGGCCUGCAACUGUAGCUCCGAUCUGACCCCUAGCCUGAGAACUUCCAUAUGCUGAGGGUGCAACCCUAAAAAGGAAAAAAAAAAAAAAAAAGAGUUGCUUUAUUUCAAAGAUUAAAGAAUAAACUUCUCAAACACCAACUCUUUGGCAAAGCAACCUCCAAGAAGGAAAACUGAACUGUCAUCUCUGAACAGCUACUCAGAGUUAAGCCUGUGUCCACAGGCAAACCGUGAACAAGCCUCAUUGCCCAGUGACCUAUCUACUCAAAUGUCUGUGUUUCAAAUCUUCAUCUAAAUUUGUCCACUGCUACCUAAAUCCACAGAUGAAGUAAGCUUUGUUCUUACACCAGAACUACCAAAAUCAAAAACCAAAAUGCCACCGCCAUGGGUCCUCAAGAUCCGUCUUUGUAGGAGAAAACCUACUUGGAGAAAACCACACAAUCCAGCUAUUAAGACAGCAAUGACAGAAAACCUCAGUUUCUGCUGCAAAUAAUAUGAUCAGAAAUACAGCCAAUGCAGCUGCA
rnacentral:lncRNA from 1 species